CUUGAUUAUUUCAGACUGACGAAGACUCUCUGGAACAAAACAUGGAUGGCGCUUCCCAUGAAAAAUAAACGUCAAUGACUUAAGAAAGAGGCAGCGAAGACUGGGCACCGAAAUAUCCAAUGGGAGUGAAGAAAGAAGAGGGGUCAGGAUUUCUGGAGAACUUAAUCUUCAUGGGAGGAAACAGGCUGGACAGUGAAAUACAGAAAACAUCAGAUAAUGUCAGAUGAAUUUUCCGAGAAGGUAAG